rnacentral:rRNA from 2 species
GCCGCAAGGUUAAAACUCAAAUGAAUUGACGGGGGCCCGCACAAGCGGUGGAGCAUGUGGUUUAAUUCGAUGCAACGCGAAGAACCUUACCUGGUCUUGACAUCCACAGAACUUUCCAGAGAUGGAUAGGUGCCUUCGGGAACUGUGAGACAGGUGCUGCAUGGCUGUCGUCAGCUCGUGUUGUGAAAUGUUGGGUUAAGUCCCGCAACGAGCGCAACCCUUAUCCUUUGUUGCCAGCGGUUCGGCCGGGAACUCAAAGGAGACUGCCAGUGAUAAACUGGAGGAAGGUGGGGAUGACGUCAAGUCAUCAUGGCCCUUACGACCAGGGCUACACACGUGCUACAAUGGCAUAUACAAAGAGAAGCGACCUCGCGAGAGCAAGCGGACCUCAUAAAGUAUGUCGUAGUCCGGAUUGGAGUCUGCAACUCGACUCCAUGAAGUCGGAAUCGCUAGUAAUCGUAGAUCAGAAUGCUACGGUGAAUACGUUCCCGGGCCUUGUACACACCGCCCGUCACACCAUGGGAGUGGGUUGCAAAAGAAGUAGGUAGCUUAACCUUCGGGAGGGCGCUUACCACUUUGUGAUUCAUGACUGGGGUGAAGUCGUAACAAGGUAACCGUAGGGGAACCUGCGGUUGGAUCACCUCCUUA